rnacentral:lncRNA from 1 species
UUUUUUUUUUUUUUUUGGGGUGUCUAAAUAGUGCUCCAGGUUCUAGCCAUAUGUUUCCAGCCCAGUCCUCGCCUGCAAGCAAAUUCAACUCUGGCCUAGUCAGGUUGGUGCGCGCGACAGAGGAGGAUGACAAGAUUCGUAAUAGGGAUGCGUUCAACUCAUAAAUCCCUCGAAAGAAAAACAAACGCAUGAGAAACGAGGCAAUGGAAUUUUUGGUUCUUGACAUUUAGCAGACGCAGAAUUGUUAUUUUCACAAAAGUUACAUUUCAUUUUGAAUCAGACACUAUUGGCAGAGAGUCGGUCGUACUUGUACCAAUUUGUAUUAAAAAUAAAUGAUGUCCUACAGCUUAUCUUCAGAAUAAUCACUUCUUGGUAUAAGUGACGGAAAAUCCCCUUCGGCGGGCGGUUAUAUAUAUACUAUGUAGACCUAGUUAAGUUUAAUAGUAUACCGUCAGAGUUGUCGAGGAGUGAGCCACAAUGUCCGAACUCCCAGCCAUUGCUAGUUCUUGUCCCUGCAAGUUUGAAAGUAUAUACAUUACCAGAUCACUUAGAUUUCAGGGAAUUCUACCAUUGUCUUCUUCUCAGACGAUCAUUCCUCAUCUAGCACUGCAUGCUUCCUGCACAAACUGCUCAGGCUGCCAUAUGUUUUAACGACUACUUGAUUUGAUCCUAUUGCAGCUUUGCAGAUGUCUGUAGCGCAGAUAUCCGAAGCUCCAGGUUCAUGUUCCUGCCCAAUCAUUUCCUUCCUUCUUUCUGGGGUCAAAAAUGUCGCUCGCAUCCUUCAGCUAAUUAAUCAAGAGGAAUGUCGUCUCAAACCACAAAAAAUCUCAGCAUCCAAGACCUCUAAGAAUGCCACUGAGUUUAUAAAUUACCCCUGGAGGAUCUGCAUAUGACUCAUCCAGAUAAAUAGCAUGGUACUCCAAUCCUUUCCACUUGGCAAUUAGGGCAAAAUGGGGGCGCCUGUAUUCACUACUGACAAUCUCAAACACUACUGUCCUUGGCGUAGCAGAAACUAUGUGAGUUAGACCUGCCCCAUGAGCACCGGCUAUGACUGAAGCAUCUUGAAUGGCCCGAACUUGCUCUUUCAUGGACAUGUGAGCAAAUAGACCGUUUAUUAUAUUCAAUUUGCAAGCUGAAUGAUUUGAUGCCCAGCCCUCUAUAGAAUUAAAAACUUGUUCUUCAUUACUAAGCCUUGAUUGUACCUUACCACCAUGACGUGGAUGGGCUAAAUAAUCCUCACGUCUAACAAAGAGGACAUUAAGACCCGAAACAGGCCUUGAGUUAUGAUGUCUAUCAACUGGAAAACCAAAUGCUGCUCUUAUCAUCUCCCCGAACUCAGACAGACGAGCAGUCUUUUUAUCAUCUGGGUGUUGCCAUAGUUCACGUGCAGAAGCACCGUUGCAAUCUAUGUCUUCAGAGAGUCCCUUGAACCAUGCAGUUUCAUAUCCCAAAGGUGCAAGUAUCGCAUGGCGGAAACAGACAGGACCACGAAAGCUUUUGGCAUAUCUAAUGCUAGAAAACAAUGCAUUCCAGGUUUCUUCCAACUGUGCCUGAAAAGUUUUGUGAAAGGAAUUAUCUUAAAUGGAAAACUUUCAGUGAAUUAAUAGACCACUACAGUAACACUGGCAGAGGCAAUCAUAGCAACCUUGGCAUGCCAGUAUCUGGUCAUUACGUCCUCAAAUUGGUUUUAAACUUUUAACAUGUUUCAUCUUCUAUUGUUGGUGGCAUAAACUAACUUCUAGAGAUGUUUAUUUAUUUAGAGCAUUAUUGAAGCAUGUUCUCCUGCAUCUAUACAUGUCAAAAACAUCCACAAUGCCAAUAAAAUUGAACGCCCAAGCACAAAAAGAGAGAAAUGGAUGUAAUCAGUAUUAAUGCAGUGUAAUAUUGAAAUUAAGAACGUCUUCCGCAGGCAACAGCAAGAACAGCAGUUAUUGAGGGAACAAGAAGAAAGCAGAGGAACGCCAGCUUCUGGAAUGAAGAAAUUGGUCAAUUUUAGUAAUAAGAUUCUGCACAAGACUUUCCAAAAAAGAAUAAAAAUGGUAAUAUGGAACAAACAACAGAUAACAAGCAGCAAUAUAUUUGCAUGAAUAUUGGCUCAACAUGUCCAAAUGCAUUUCGGUGGAGUUCAUCUCCAAGAAAUGGCAGACACAUAUGAUCAAGUCCAGGCUAACUGCCAGAAAAAGAUAAAAAAAAGUCCAGGCUAACCAUUUAUUCAACUACUGAACUGCUAUGAAGAAGCACCAUAAUUUUAACACAUCCAGAAAUUUGAAAGCAGCAUGCUGAAAACUAAGUCUUUUCCACUACAACUCUUCAAGCCAGUUAUUCUAAGAGUCUGAUUUUGAAUAUGCUUGAUGUCAAGAAAUCUAUAGUUUAAAACUCCUGCAAUAAGUUCAAUGACUCCCCUGUACAUCUCAAGUGAUCCAAAAUUCACCUUCCCUGGCUCAUUUCAUGUUUAUCAAAUACUUAGUAGAGGACAAAAUUCUUGCAAUAACAAAUGCUACAAUGUCAUUUUUGCUAGAACUAUGUUAGCCUGAAUAUUCAUACCUUGCAAUGGCCAUCCACGAAAACUAUAUGAGGUCGAUUGGGCAAUCCAGUAACUCUAGAAGCCACAUAUGCACUGUACCAAUCUGUGAAGGUGUGAAAAACAUUUGCAUACUCGAAACGUGUAACCAAAACCGUAGGCUCCUCAACCCACUGAAAGAAAACGUAACAAAAUGGCUAAGAUUAAGAAAAAUGUGAUGGAUCGAUUGCAAAAGGCAAAAAAUGCAGAAAGCUCCAGCAAAAAUAAAACUCAUGCAGAUUUGAACAAUCUUACUUGCAAGCAUAUGAGUAUAGCAUUGAAACUUAAAUCAAGUAUCAAAGAGGAGAAAACGAUAUUGCCAGCAUUAUUCACAAGUUUGAUACUAUAACUGCUCGCUGCAAAUCUCAUUUAUCAUUUACAUCUCCGUCAUACAGCACCUCCCACAAACAUUCAUUGCAAGACUCAUUCUGAAAGUUCAAGAGGACUUCAAGCAUCUGCAAGAUGCUUCAUUUUUUGGUCCUGCCCCAGAUUAGAUCUCAUGUUAUCACAAAAAGACCCAGAUCUCAAUCCAGGUACACCGUGUUCCCAGAAUCAACUGAUGGAACUGACAGAUCAAUUGUUUAUUACACCACAUUAGACUCUGCAAGAAAAUUUGAUAAGGCAUCCAAAAAUGGGAGAAAUUUAUUCAUAUUGAUUGGAUUAGCUAGUUAUGAGUUCAUUUAUUAAAUCAGGGAUAUCGAUUCAUUAAUUAUGCAGAAUCUUUUUUGCAAAUUUGGUAAAAAAUCAUCUGUUCUUUCCUUUUUUAACAAAGAUCAAAACUUUAAUAGAUCAAACUGAGAACCCAAAUUAAAAAAAAAAAAAAAAUCUGAAGGCUAACCUCGGAACAAUUUAACUCAUUAGGCCCAACUAACUCAAUCGAAUCGACCAACUGACGCAUAGUAUGCCUAUGAAUGGCACCAUUUGGUAAGUAAUUAUUCAAAAAGUCUACAUUCACAAGUUUCUUCCCUAUUUUAGACCUUUCGAGCACUUCAAUCUGGAAAGCACCGGGUUUAAAUAACGGCAAUUCUUCCUCUUCCCCUCUUCCAAGCACCAUCUCCAACUCUUCCCCUCCUUUAGACAUUACAAUUUUUUCUCCAAUCAUCCGAAUUUGUCCUCCCUCGCAUAUAGAGCUAAGCAGCGUUUGACUAUAGUGACACCUAAACCAUCCGCCCCCGGCAGAGUUAUCAGAGACGGAUUUCCGGUGAGACUCCGGCGAGAGUUUGAGGGCAUCGACAAGCAGAGUGAAGCCAUUCCCGAAAUAACCCUCGCAAGAUCGGACCGGCACCUCACGAUUAUGGGACCAGGGGAGGUAGGAGGGGAGACUUGGCCAGGGUUUCGCAGUAGCAGUGAUGGACACAUGGGAGUUUGUAUGAUUCCGGGUAAAGUGAGGGUUGCUUCUGUUGGGGAAAUAGUCGGGGUGGGAGGAGAAGUAAAAGUAGAAGUAGAGAGUGACGGAGUUGAGGGCGAAGAGGAAAAGAACUAUUUUUACUCUUUUGGCCUUCAUUAUCAUCAUUGGACGACGGGAUUUUAGGCUUUGGAAUUUGUUUUUCAGCUGUUGCCGCCGUGGGGGUUCACCUGAGGAUUAAGUGACGAACCCCAUUGGCGAUUGUGCCGUGGCAGUUGGGACCCUGCUUGCUCUCUUUCCAACUCGGCAGUUCUUGCUCGCUUGCGUGUUUGGGAUUGGGAGGGGACUUAUUAUACCACCUAUUAGUCCUAGGAGCCACUUCCAGCCCUCGACCAGGCAUGGUAAGUUGGAAAAGCUCCAGCUUGUUCAUGCUUUUACUGGUUUAACUUUUGAGUAUUUGGAGAGCUACUAUUUGGUUAAAAAUUAUUUACUUACAUUAUAAAUAAUUUUUAAUACAUCUAUUUAUCUUUCCGAUCACCUUCUUAUUUCAUAUAUACAACAUUAUUAUAAAAAGUGCUUCAAUAUUUAUUUUAAAUAAUCUCCGAUCCAAACACUUGGAAUCUUUUUACUCUUAAUGGAUCAAGUAUUGGCAGAAUAAGGGUGGAAGAUAAUCAAAUUACUCAACAGUCGAGUCUAAGUUGAGCUUAGUAAAAAUUCGUUUGAAUUUGAUUCGUCAAUUAGUUAAAUUAAACUUGAAUAACACCUCAUGUUUCGUAACUUUGAAAAAAAAAAAUAAAAAAGUUCGAACUUGAUUCAACAAAUAAAUCAGUCAAACUUGAAUAAAAUUUCAAGUUCUUUAAAAUAAAUCAAAUAAACACGAAAGUUUAUAUUUGAGAAGCAUAAAUUCAUUACCACUCUUAAGAUUCCAUUAAUCUUCGAACUGAAGUUCGGUAAGCGUUGUGCCAAUACAGGGAUUUAGUGGAUUGUGAUUAGUACAACUAGGCAAAAUGCGGAAACUCAGGGUCCUAAAUACUCGAAACAAAAGUGAAGCAUUUAAGCAUUGUGCAAGCUUGGAACUUUUUCUUAUUUAUAUUUUUUGGAGAAAAAUAUAAAUGCGAAUACUGUGGAAGACGAGGCACUAUUCACCUAUGCCAUGGAAGAAUUGGUUGCCUCUAAUCAGAGGACAAGAAGAGGAUGGUAGGGUACAGCGUACCACCAGAUUAUAGAGCGGUUUUGUUGACCAAAUUUUGAUUCCUGGCGUCUGGAUUUCUUUAAGCCAGAUCACAGGGUCAAAAUCACGCAUACAAUACAACUACGUACACAAGUGGGAUCCAGACGUUCUGCCGGAAACUGUACAGCAUUUAACUUGAAUAUCUGCUCGAAAGGGCAUAUGGACUCUAUGGACAGCAUUAAUCAAACUAGAAAGUAAGUAGUACUCAGGAUACCUUUUACUUUUCUGCUAGGUAUUAGGCCACGAAUUUUUGUCAGGAAUUUCUGCCUCGCAGCCUAGUGACAGCUGCUCUAUUUAUUUUGCUAGGCAAGAACGAGUGCAUUAGCAGCGCACGGCCAUGCAUAUGGCAAUAUGGCAUUGGUUUGUUUGUUAAAAUCCCGCAUCCCAUUCUUUGAAAAAAAAAAGAAGAAGAAGAAUCAUUGAACCCACAAAAAGGGACUGUAAAGGUGUAAAAAUAUUUGCUAUCAUUUGCUUUGACAGAAUAUAGUGGAAGCAUGGUACAUUGCCAUUAGUAUAAAUGACAUCCAUCAUCUACAAAAAGUGUUGCAGCGGAUAAUAAUGAUACGCGUGGCAGUAGUGUGUUUAUGUUUCCUGACUUCCUCUCCUUCUGGCUUCAAAAACAAAAGAAUGCAGAAUGAAUAUGCAGUAAUUCAUCAAUAAUCCAGACCACGGAUUGAUGCAGAUCUCCAAUGCCUAGCACUCUCAAAACCAUUCGUACAAUUUUCAAAAUCUUCAAUGGUUUGAUCAAUCUCUUCUUGAGUGUUCAUUACAAAAGGCCCAAAUUGGACUACUGGUUCACCUAAUGGCUCGCCCCCAACUAAAACGAAUCUCAGGGGCUUUGAGGACUUGUUCCAUGCCUCAAGGCCAUCGCCAGAGCCUAGAAGAAGAAGAUUAUGAGCUGUUACUGGAGAAGACCUCGAGUGGCUGAAGGUGCCUUCCCCUUCCAGGACGUAUACAAAUGCAUUCCAGGACGCAGGCACUGGUUGCUGAAGAUGAGCUCCUGGCUUAAGGGUGAAGUCCAAGAACAUGGUUGGGGUCCUUGUGUAGACAGGAGAUGUAAUUCCCAUGGCCUCUCCUGCUAUAACUCUGACUUUGACCCCAUCUUUUGCUGCCUCUGCAAUGUCCUUGCUCAUCAUUUCUUGAUAUCUUGGCUCAACCCUUUUGGCAUGAGAAGAGAUAAUUAAUAUUUGAUGCAUUUUAAGUUCUUAAAGUCCAAUGUCAAAAAGUACGAAGAUUAUAGAUUACUUUCUAUAUAAGUGCAGCAGAAUCACUAGCUUUUACCAUAUCAGUGAUCUUCAUGUUUUAAUAUAAAGCACAUAAAUCACAUGGCAAUAACAUUAAUUAUAGGCGCACACACAUUGCUGAACAAUUAUGGCAAUGAAUCAUCAUGUUUGUGGGCAAUGAAUCAUCAUGUUUGUGAGCAAUGAAAGCGUUUACAUUCACAUUAUUCAUGAAGUUUCAUUAUAAUUCACUCAAAAACUUCUUCUUUACCCAGCAAAACUCAAAAACCUUCUUUCUGUUAAGGUUUAAAAGAUAUUUUUGUGCAUCUACAACUUCGCUGACCCUUUUUAAAAGCAAUAAAACUUACAUUUUAUUUCUAGAGCAGAGAUUAAUCCAUAAUUGUAAACCUCGUUGAGUUCCCUGAGCUGCUGGCAUCUCUGAAUGAACUAUUCCUCUUCCAGCAGUCAUCCACUGUAAAUCACCUUCUUUGAUGGUACCUUUAUGUCCUUUAAAAUCUUCAUGCGUCACAGCUCCCUGGUGUCAAAAUGCAAGAACUUUUUCAAUAUCGCGAACACCACCUAUUUUGAACAUACAUAACGGUUUGUUUUGCUUACUAAUGGGUAAAAAUGAGCACUGUAGGUGAGCAACAUACGUGCAUCAUGACUUAACCGGAAAAAAAAAAGUGUAUCAUGAAACAAAUAUAUUUCUGGCAGGCCGAAAGUUAGCUAGUUUGCCCGCAAAUUAGUGGUUGAAGAAACUGAAAGUCUUCAGUAUUUAGUAGUAAAAUUGUGAUUUUUGGUCUCAGUUACUGACAACAAGACUUGAAAUUCUAUUUGUCUUAGCCAGGCAGGCGGCAGGCCGCAGGUGCUUGAUGACAUAUUUGACAGUAGUAUUGCCUUGAUGAUCACCUUGUUUGCAACUUGACAUGGAAAGCCGGGUCCUAUCCAGCUAGCUUAAGAAAAGGGUUACCUAUUGCUUUCAUUCAAGUGACGCAAUGGCUACCAAUUCAUUAAUUUACUUACAAUUGCGGCAAUUAGAAAUUCACUGCUUUCUUUGAUCUUAAGGAUCAAACAGUGGUCACAAUAUUCUUCUUGGCAGUGAAGGAGAAAAAAGUGCUUUAGUGCAUCCGUUGCACCUUAUUUUGUUUUUCCUAUUGACGACAGAGUAAUAGGCAAGAUAGCCAAAACUAUUUGGUAAUAUAUCAAAAUGGAACUAGCAGGAAAUGAUACAAGUGAUGAAGCUCUACCUGCAACAUGUAGGUGACUGUUUCAAACCCUGAGAAAACAGAAGUGAUAAGAUCAGAAUUCAGAACUAAAAUCCAGUGGCAGACUUUGAAUUUGCAGUCAGAUAUUUCAAGAGUCUGAUGAAAUGCUUUCAAGUGUCUAAAUGCAGACCUCUAUGCGGAUGAUCAGGAAAUCCACCUGGAGCAGAGACUGCAAUGCGACGAAGAGAAGAAAAAUAGGAACAAAAACUUGAGUAAUAUGAUAAAGGGACUAAUGGAUUAGCGUUAAAAAACCAAUCUUGCACAAAAAUGAUCUAACUGAGAAAAAAAAAAUCCACCUGAGAAUUCGUCCAAAGCAAGGAAAGGAUCAAAAUACUUCAACUCAAACCUGACCAAAAAAAAAAAAAAAAAUCUUUACAAGCCAGACAGCACAAAUGAUGACAAUUAACAUGCAGUAUGGUUCUUUUACAUGCAUAAAACGAGACCAUCGAAGGAAUACCUUCCAAUGCUUCUUCUGACAAUAGCGCCAAGGCCCUCAGGCUGAGGCCUUGCAAGAAAUUUUCUGACAACAGGGCGAGCUUCUUGAACAGCACUGUUGUAGGACAUUGUUCUUUUUGCUUUUUUAACUCCUUUCUUUUGCCUGUUGAGUUAGCAAGUUUUUUCGAGAGAUGGAACGGAAGAAUUCGAAAAUGGAAUGGAAGAAAAAUCGGAGGUUUGUGAAGGGUAUAAAUAGGGAGGGAACAGAGACAGAAAAGAGGGGGGGAAGUUCGUUAGUCCGACUGUAUUUGGAGGGUCAAAGGGGGCAAAGGUGGCGGCCCACAUAUGAACUUGCUUGAGAUCCAGGGACUCUUUUUUUUUUUUUCUUUCUUUUCAUUUUUGUCCAUGUGAUGUCAGCAUAGCGUUAUGAUUAUGUGGUAAUGGAUCUUGUGAACUACGGUGGUUGCCUCUGGCCCUGGUUUCCGCUUGAUGGAUGGAUAAAUGGAGAUGGACCAUGUGGCUGGCCAGGGCCCAAGGCGGCAUUUUCUUCCCACCUUAUGUAAUUUCCUUUUAAUUUUAUGACGUAAUUUUUACAAAUUUUAUUAUUGUCUCUCAUUCUACUUCUAUAUUUUUUCUUUUGUGAACACAAUACAAAGCAAUUUGUUUUUAGAUGUGUGUUAAUAAGGGCUUGUCGUGCUAAUUAACACUAGUACUACAGGCACACCCAUGCGCGUGCAAUUUAAAAAUAAAUUGGUUUUUAUGAAAUUUUCUUUAACGAAUUGAUAGUUAUCUUGGUAAUUAAGGGUUAAUGGAUAAAGUUAACAUCAAGUUAACUAAGGAUUAAUGGAUAAAAUUAACUCCAUAGAUGCUUUAUUAACGUAUACAUAUCAUCGGUCCGAAUUUUCAUCCGUCAUCUUUCUUCUGUAAAUGUUACCAGAAUCUAGGGCCAAAGUUUACCAUUUUCUGUAGAGAAAGGAAAGGAAAGGAAAGGAAAUUGUGAGAGAUCUUGUGACUUUAAGGUGUUGCCAAUGCUUGAUUAGGAACAAAAUUGUUUUCAUAUUGAUUUGACCCCUUAGCGGCCAUGCAUAUGAAUAGUAAAUGAAAAACAUUUGAUGAGGAACUGAAAAUGCUCUGAAGGAUUUGAUUUAUGGGCGAAAAAUCUCUUCUACAGUUCGUAGCGACGGGCUGAUGGAGUUGGAUGACAGGAGAAAGAAAUAGAGACAUGCAACCGUUGCUCGGUUCCUCUUGAAUUAGAAAAGGCAAUGAGCGAAUAGCGCAAGGGAAAACUUGUGGGGCCAAACCAACCAACGAUUUUUGCCCCUUUGCCUUGGUGUCCUUUUCUAGUUUUCUGUGGCCCCAUUUCAAAUCCCAGAUACUUUGCCACACUUCAUUGAAAGCGUUAGGACCAAAGAAAAAAAAAUUAAGCUGAAAGGAAAUCAAUGGUCUUAAUAGUGGACACACGCAUCCUUUUGCUUCCAUGAGGAAAAAUGUGACGUCUUGAAGGAAUAUAUAUAUUAUCGUUACUCAAUUUUUUUACUAUAAAAUUAUUUUAAUUAUUAUAAGUGAAAGAUUUUGAACCGAAACCGUUAUUUACAAACUCUUCCCUCCCCCGUCCUAUCCUGCUAAUAGCAACCCUCAGUCUAGAAUCCCCCGAUGUUUUAAACAAUAACGAAAAACAAAAAAAAAUUAAAAGAACAAAAGGUCAUUUCAUUUGCUACAGAUUAAUAAAAAAAUGAAUUUGUAUGGUGUUGGAACAGCUGUCUGAAUAAAUAACAACCGAAUCAAAGCCGUCCAAUGAAUACGUUGAGAUACCAAUAGCGGGUUUCGAGAAUCAAGAAGCGGGACCAAAUUGACCAGCUGCUAAAUUCUUUUUUUUUUUCUAGUUGCGGGGGCCGUCGAGAGGGUUCUCUAUCCGUCUAUCGUAUCGUAUUGUGGGGUGGGUCCGGCUGUGAAGCCACCAUGAUCACCUAGGAGUGGACCAUGCAACGCGAGAAAUGAUGUAGUGACAACGUAGGACUUAGGUUGAGCGGCUUGCGAAGAAUGACGUAGUUAGUACAAAAGCAUGACGAGUUCAAUGCAUUUACAUAGACGAACCAUAUUGACAUUUUUAAAAAAAAUUCCUUUUCUUUUCUAUAUUCUAAAUUUCUGUCCGCUUGGGGUGUGCGUUUCUCUUUAGUGCGUGUGAGCUCUGAGUGCUUAGGUUUGUCCCACAUCGAACUUGGGAGGGGGAUUUGGGUAGUUUAUUAGGCUCCUCAGGAACCACAAAAGUUGCCGGCUUUUGUGGUUUCCUGUGGAUUAAGUUUAGUAAAAUGCAAAAGUCAUUCUGCUGACUAGAAAAAAAAGACAAACUGUCCGCUUGGGGUGUGCGUUUCUCUUUAGUGCGUGUGAGCUCUGAGUGCUUAGGUUUGUCCCACAUCGAACUUGGGAGGGGGAUUUGGGUAGUUUAUUAGGCUCCUCAGGAACCACAAAAGUUGCCGGCUUUUGUGGUUUCCUGUGGAUUAAGUUUAGUAAAAUGCAAAAGUCAUUCUGCUGACUAGAAAAAAAAGACAAACUGUCCGCUUGGGGUGUGCGUUUCUCUUUAGUGCGUGUGAGCUCUGAGUGCUUAGGUUUGUCCCACAUCGAACUUGGGAGGGGGAUUUGGGUAGUUUAUUAGGCUCCUCAGGAACCACAAAAGUUGCCGGCUUUUGUGGUUUCCUGUGGAUUAAGUUUAGUAAAAUGCAAAAGUCAUUCUGCUGACUAGAAAAAAAAACUAGGUAGAAAUUGGAAUUUUCUUUGUUUCUAUCAACUAAUGUUAUAUGUAUUCAUUCUCUAUUUUUAAUUAAUUCUACUUUUUCAACGCAUGGUGUGCAGUACUAUUUUACAAGCAAUGAUGACAGCUAAGGUACUUUUUCACUCUUGGCUAUUUGAAGUUUGAAUUAAUUUCCAACUUUAUAACUCGUACAGACUGAUUCAAAAUACAUGCCUUACUACAUAUCUGCGCAAGAUUAUGUGGUGUAAUGUCUAAAGUCUUUGGAAGAUUAAAUAUUGAAGAUUAAGUAGCAGUAGUUGUUGUAGUAUCGGGUUGGGCUAAUUCCACUUUGUCCCUUCAAACUUUGGACGAUUAUCCAUUUCAGUCCCUAAACUUCAAAAUGGGACACUUGAGUUCCUAAACUUAUAAAUACCUCUCACUUAAGUCCCUAAACUUAUAAAUGGGACACUUAAAUCCCUAAACCCUUAUAAAAUGAGACACUUCGACCACCAACGACAUUCAGGAUUUGUUAACAAUUUUCUUUAAGUGGGAGAUAUUUAUAAGUUUAGGGACUUAAGUGUCCCAUUUUAAAGUUUAGGGACUGAAGUGGAUAAUCGUCCAAAGUUUGGGGGGACAAAGUGGUCUUAACCCUAUCGGGUUAGGCAUUUUCAAAGUAGCCAAAAAUGUUGGGAGGGAAUUCGUGGGAAGGUUCGAGAAAAAAAAAUGUAAUAUUUUUGAAUUAUAUUUAAGUAAAAAAAAAAAGAAGAAAUAUCCAAAAGCCAGCCACAAAGAAACAGACAGACCGAUCCACCUCCACCUCCACCUGUGGCCUGCCAUCAUCCAUUCUACCUAGAUUUAGAUUGGGAUGAUCAUUUCUACGAAACAAAAGGAAAAAGCCAAAACAAAAAAAGAGGAAUAGGGAGAUGAUCAAUGCAGUGGGAAUGAUGAUGCAAUCCAAUUGCGGCGCAUCGGGCAUUGAUUCUCCGCGCAAUGAAUUCCCACAGUAUUUCCUGCUAAUUAUUUCGUUGAAGAGCUUUUGCUUUUUACGGUCAAAGGCAAUCGAGUGAUGAUAUUAGCUACGUAAUACUCGCCUCAUCAUCUCUGGAUAUUAUUUUAUUAUUUUAUUUAAUAUAAUAAGCACCACAAUAUCUGUAAUCCCUAUUUGAAUUUUUGUUUUUGGAUCGAUGGUCAUGUCUUGGGUUGCAAACGAAUCGAUUCGUUUGUGAGUGAUUCGAUUCCGAGCUCGAUCAAUAAUAUCGAGUUUAAGUCGAGUUCGAACUGAUCAAAUCGAACUCGAAUUCAAAAAUACUAAAUUCGCAAGCCAAUUCGAGCUCAAUUAUAUAUAUGUUCGAGUUUAAAAAAACUAAACUCGUUAGUUUCCGAGUCGGUUCGAGCUUGAUUAUAUAUAUAUACAUACUUUUUUUUAUUUUUUAUUUUAAGAGUAAUAUUACAUAUAUAUCCCUAAUAUUUUUUAUUUGUUUAAAAAUUUAUUAUUUUAUUCAUUUAUAAAAAUAUAAAAUAAAUAAAUUUUAAAAUUUUUUUAAAGCUCGAGCUCGACUCGAAUUUAAAUAGAGUUCGAGUUCGAGUUCGAAUUUGAUAUUUUGAACUCGUCGAAUUCGAAAUCGAAUUCGAGUUUCAUAAAAUUUCGGUUCGAUUAUGCUGAAACUCGAUUCAGCUUAACUUGUUUACACCCUAGUCAUGUCCUACUCCUAUUUUAAUUUAUGUUCCCUUUUAGGGAAAAAAUCCCAUCUCUAGAUUAAAGAAGUACAUCACUGUGCGUACCCCAAUUGGGCCAAGGGGGGUAAAGGAGAGAAUCCUACCUCAAGGAGGCAAUUAGGCCAAGGGGAAGACAGGGAGAGAAUCUCACCUCUAGGCUAAAGGAAUACAUUAUUCUACACCCUUUAAAUUUUUACUACAUAUGCUUGAUCCGCAUUUGAUAGAUUUUACUACAGAUGCUUGAUCUGUAUCUGAUGCUUGAUGUCAGUCAAUCGGAUCUCAUUCCCCUGGCUGUGCCAAUGCGAAAGUAACUUCACAAGACCAUCCUAGCCGAGCUAUUCGAGAUCUUUUACUAUUUCUGUUCUAUUCCGGUAUGGUACAAUGAUACUUCAUUUGGUUUCGGCUUACUUUAACAAUCAAUAAUUCCAACUUUCAAGCUCAUAAGAAAAUACCUAACUCGGAAUUAGAUCUUGUAUUUUUUUGACUUUGGAUUCUGAUUCUAUACGUUUGCAGUUUCCACCUCCCAUUCAUAGAGACCACCUGUUGGUAUUCAGGUCCCUCGAACAUGCAUUCUGAGUCAUGGUUCCGGCUCGAGAUGGUGAACACUUCAGACAAUGAAUUAAACGUACGUGUAAAUUGACCAGGACAAACGUCAUCCAAGGUCGACGAAGCUAGUAGCUGUAAUUAAGAUUUUGACUAACCUCUGCAUUCAUCCCUCCUAUUACAUUUGACAGCGAAAAAAAUCAACACAAAUAUCAGAUGAAAUUUGUGCUAAACCCAUCCAUAUACUACGCUAUUGCAAUAUAAACAACAGCCCUUCAUUUUCUCUGUCUGUAACAUUAUGGAAAAUAGCGACACGUGUAAAUUCAAAUUGAGAAACUACACAAAAAAGAUCUGGCAUCAGGCCUCUUUGCACAAACACCACGGGCCAUCCAUUCUUGAAAGCCAAGAGUGCAGAAGAGACAGAUGAUAAAACCACCUGAAGCAAAGAUACGGGAUACAUAUCUUUGAAAAUUGUAUAAUCUUAUAGUACUUGAUAUCAGUGGCAUGCAUGUAUCCUAUGUCAAACUCCAUUUCCACUCUCAAAGCUUCAAAACACUGUUUUGAUUCCAUUGCGGACGAAAGCGGUUAAAACAUAGGAAACUGAAUAUUUUUGCACAAAGGGUGCAGCUAUGAUUGUGAAAAAUAAAGUCAGUAGAGACUUAGGCAGCACCACUGGCUCCCUUUCCUUUCUUUCUCUGGAUUUUCUUCAUGUAGAACUCAAGCUCUUUGCCUUCCAAGAUAUACCCGCAAAUAUUAAAGCCACAACAAGUGAAAACGAUGUGAAAAUGGCCAAAAAGAUUAUUUUAAUUAAUCCAAGUAAUUAAACAACAAACAAACAAACAACUAAAGCUCCUAGCAUAAUUACAGAGCAUUAACCAACUGUCCUUCCUGAAUGUAAUGUAACAACUGAAAUUGGGAACCAAUGUUCUUUGACACACAAUUAAACCGUCCAGGCAGCAAAAUCUGCCAAAAGUUUCAAUAGUUGGAUAAUCGUUCCACAGUAAUAUGUAUUAAUGUCGCCAUUUUUGUUUAAAUGAAAAUGUAUAAUGGUUCCUAAGUACUUUAAAACACUGAUGUAAAAGGAACAUCACGAAUAAUGCAUACCCAUCUGCACGACCACACUGGCGAGGCCUUGAAGAAAUUGCAGCCAACAACCGACCACCUGCAAACUGCUCCUCAAUAUGAGGAUCAAUCUUGCAAAUCCUGUCGACGCUGCCUCAGUUUUCUUACAACAUGGUUACUCUUUGUAUCCUCUAUAUAUGCCUCAGGUUCCUAAAAGACAAGUUCAUAAUGAAAAUUAUCAAGCAUUGAAAAUGUGAUGUUAUCAAAAAUUAGAUUAAUUCACUUUAAAUUCUAUUCCAACUGUAUAUAACAGGUCAGCAUAGUCCUAAUGUAACUGCUCACUAAGUUGCACAACUAAAUAGGUAAAAGCAUUUAUUGCAUGUAACAAUUCUGCCAAAUAGUUUUUAAAACAAUUCCAGAUUCAAUUCCGUACGCAAUUGAUGAAAAUGCAACUGCACAACAGCAAAUCAAUGUAAUAGUUGGCCAGAAGGAAAAGCAAAAAAAAAAAAAAAAAACAAGUAUGUACUCCAAACCUCUCCUUCCUUCUUAGUAGCAGCAGUCUUCUUCUUGCAACCAAUGUCAACACCAUAAUGCUGAAGAUACCACUGCUUAAAUGGAGCAGCCUCAACUUGAACUAUAGCACUCUUGACCAAAGUCUGGGUCCUAACCAGUUCAUUGUUAGAAGCAUUAAAAACUACGUCAAGUAUACGAGUCUUCCUGGUAAGAGACUCAUUUCCCCAUGAGUAAUUCCCAGAGUCCAACCUCAGUGCACGCCACUUCACAUUCCCACCUCUUACCCUAACCCUCCUUACUGCCUUGUUACCAUCCAACUUAGUGUUUGAAGGUCACCUUCCCAACUCACACCUAAUAGCAAACAAGAGAGUUGUCAUAAUCCAGACUCUAGAGAUUAUUAUUACGAGGCACAGAUGCAACACAAUCACAUGGUAAGACCAGAAUUUAUGCCAGUCAAUUGCAAGCAUAGAUGGACCAUAACUAAGACUACAGGGAUUGUCAAAGUCAGGCAAAGAUGGUGCAUAACAGCAGGAUACAACUCAAAUUCAUGCUAACCAUUCUUAAGAAGUUACAACCUAGAUUUUCUUUUCACACGGGCAAGGAGCAACAUCGCCAAGUAAUACCCACUACAUGUAUAAAUAAAGCAACCACAAGGUCCAGAACCCAAUGGUUCUCUUCAACCAUAUACAGUAAGCCACAAAUGGACUAGGCUUUAAUACUAAUGAAUAUUAUGAAUUGCAAUAUAUGCAGGCAUAGACCAAACAAAACUAAAUUAACACAACUCAAUAUUAUGAAUUGCAACAUAGCUCUUUAAUACUUCCAAAAUCACAGAGAGGACCUGGAAACAAACUAAAAUGAUCAUCAACUUAAUCGAAUGAACAAGGGCACCGGAGAACAUAGCAAUGAAAAAUCUAAUACCCAAAAAAAGGAUAGCAAAAUAAAAUAAAAUAAAAAAGAGCAUUCGGUCUUUUAGAAGUACAACCAGUCACCCCAAGCCAUUAAUUGGUGCCAAUGUAGUCAGGCAUAGACAAACCAAAACAAAAUUCUACAACUAAAUCAACGCCCGUCAUUCUCAGGAGAGUAGUUUUUCUCAUCAUAGAAAUCAAACAUCUUCAUCAGACCAUGCAAUUAGGUCCCUAGACAAUAAUUGCUAAAAACAAUAAAGUAUAAAUCAUCCCAUAUUUAGUAAAAUGCAUAAGGCCACCAUCUUACACAUGAGUUUUACAUAAACACAACAAUAGUCCUUCUCAAACAAAUGCAAAUUUGAAAAUGAACUUUGUAGUGAUUAAGAAUUUUAUUUUGGGGGGCUUACUUUCGCUUUUUCCUUCAGGCCUUCUUCUUGCCUCAAGUGGCACGCCUCUUGUGCAUUGAAUCGCAAGAAAUACCUACACGGCGUACCAAAAAAAAAAUUUACCAACUAAAAUCGUUGAUUCAGAAGGUAUGAUGAAGUUGAACAAAGACGGUGAGGGAAAUAAAAAUGCGAUGAAGACGAAUGAAUACACAAAAAGUAUUACCCAUUUUGCUGUUGCAGUUGGCGCUGCUGAUGGAUUCUACAGCUCCUGCGAGUUGAUCCAAACGUGCAGGUCUGAGAGGAAAGGGGAAGCCGAAUCUAUCGGAAGGGGAAAGGGUCCAAGAAAAUACGAGCAGGGCUUUUCUAAAAUCGGUUUUUUCGGCCCACUGCAGACAAGCGUAAAUAAGUCUAAUCAAGUCAAAUACGCCUAGUAUUUAAACAAAUUUGACAAGUUUGAAAUUUUAUUUAAAAUUGGAUUGUUUAUUUGUUGAAUUGAGAUUAAACGAACUUUUUAUCGAAUUUGAAUGUUCAAGAUUGGGUUGUUUAUCUAUUGAACUGAGAUUGAGUUUUAUCAAAUUUGAAUGUUGUCGAACGGGUUUUAUGAAAUUUGAGUUUUUAUGCGGAUGACAAACCAAGCUUGAACGAACUGUUAUCAAGCUAAAUUCGAGUUCAAUUCGGGUAUGAAAUAACUUGGUUCAUGUUGCAAUUCUACCUACCUAUGCCUUUUAUGUUGAUUUUUUGACCGUUUUACUGAUUUAUCCUUGCAAGAAAAGGUGAUGGUAUUAAACCUAGGUGGAUGGUUAAUACAAUUAGACGAUCGGUAGUCGCAUGUUAGGAUUUGAUAUUAACGAAAAGUUACUGACAGAUAAUCCGAUAGAAUUUUGUAAAAGAACCCAAAAAUCAGCCUGACAUUUCGUAGAAUUAAUCUUCUAUACACUGACAGUAUAUACACUUUCACUAUUUGAUACAUGACAUUUGAAACCCAAAUUUUGCACAUAUAUCGUACAUCCAACCGUGAUAGUGUAUACACUGUCAAUGUAUAUAAAAUUUACUCAUAUAUAAAAAUCUGAUAACAUGUUAUCACUUACAAAUCCAAAAGGCCGUAAAAUAAAACGGAAAAAGAAAAUUAUGAAUGAAAUGACCAUAUCACCACUAACAAAUCCAGCAUUUCUAGGCUACUCCUCUGCGUGGUAGCGUCGGAAAACAAAUAUUCUGUUCCAUUCAGUCACUGGAUUCAUCGAUGGUACAAACCAAAAGCAGGACCCAAUUCCUUGAUUCCUCAUCUCGUACUGCAAUUCAUUUUUCCUCCAAGUUCUUGAUGUCAGAAUAUUUUUAGCUCUACAAAAAGGGGAAAAAAAAACUUGCUUCCGCUGAUGAAGCAAAUAAAUACCGUAUUUGAUGCCAAACACUAGUAGUUUAUUGCUACACUUGAGGGUGUAAUCCAGAUGGGGUUUUCCUUAACCGGCCUUGCUCCCACCAAUUGUCAUACCUCUCUCGGAAUUUCUUAUCAAAUAACUCGAAAAUUUCUGCUUUUUAAUGGGAAAGAGAGAGGCACAGUAGGUUUUAAGUCAUCAGAGCUUAAGCCUAAACCGAGAAAUUUGGUUCCCUGCAAGCUUGAGUACAUCGAUUUUGAUGCAAGAACCAGCCCGACGGAGGUACAACGUAUACCCAUCUUCAACUACAGUUUACUUGUUUAGUGUACAUGAAUGCUUGUAUUCCAGUUGAAUGUCUUGGGGAAAAUGAAGAGAAAUGUAUAGACCGUGCCGUUGCAAAAAUAAAGUUUCUGUCUUCUCUGUUUCUUGUUUUUGCUAAUGCUCUUGACCAUUUUAAAUGAUUGAGCUCGGUAGAAAUGAUGAGGAAAUUGGACUGCUGUUUCUUAUUAUUCUAUCAGAAUCAAGGUUUGACGCAGCUACUUCGAUUUUUUGUUUUUGUUAAAGUUAAAAGCUUGGUGCCACCUCUCCUUUGACCUUUAUGUAGUGAUUUUCUUAGCUUAGAACUUGGAAAUUCCAUAUCACUUUCUCAGUAAAAUGUAGGUUUACUGCCUUGCUGAUGCCCGAAAGAUUAUCUAAAUCCCUUCUGGGAUUUCCAUAUUUAGGAUUAGUAAUUGACUGUUUCAGCAGGCAGUCCGUUUUUGUUAAAAACUUCAACUGCUUCAAUAUGGUUCCGUGCAUUUGUACAUUUCCCCUGUUACCUGAUUUUCAUGAGGCUAAAAGGUUCUGGAAUGUAAAGCCCGUGGAGAUAUGCUUCGCAUUUCUUGAUAGUUGGAUUUUUGGUUUGGCUUCUGGAUAUUUGUUUUUUCUUUUCUUUACCUUAUUUUUGCUUUUUUCUUCUCUCCAGCACUUGAUUUUGAUGUUUUUCUAUUACCAUGCUCUCUCUCUCUCUGGUUUUUUUUUUUGGGGGGGGGGGGGGGUGGGUGGUGCUGCUGCUGGAGGGGAGGGACGAGACUUCAUGAUUGCAAUUGAUGCAUACCAAGAUCUUGCCCAUCCAUUGCUAGUGAAUGGAAGCUUGUUUACAUUGUUCCAUCAAUGUAGUAAAGAUCAUUCUUUACUGAGUAUUGAGAUUAAGAAGCAUUUUUAACUUCAAUUUCAGGUGAAGAAAGAAAUUGAGGAAUGCUACAAACUCAUACACAGGCUAGGCAGAGGUGUUGCAUACUUGGGUUCUUCAAGGAUGGGACCUAACCACCCUCAUUAUACGCAAGCAUUUGAGUUGGGUAGAGAGGUAGAAUAUUUCAGGUCUAUAAACCCAAAAAAGAACAUAGUAACGAAAAUAUAAAUUGGAAAGAUUAAAUCUAGAAUAUUGCUUGAUUUUAGUCCUCGGAUGUGGCCUGUUUGAUAGAUUGCAGGGCUCUUAGAUUGUACAUCCUGGUCAGGGGCUGGACCAGGGCUCAUGGAUGCUGCCACACAAGGAGCUCUGCAAGCUGGAAAACCAGUAGGUGGAUUCAAAAUAGGAAAAGAAGCUGGAGAAUGGACGGCUACAAACUUUCACCCGUACUUGCCAUCGGAAGCAUAUCUUACAUGCAGGUAAGCAUCAUGCUAUCAGAAUUUUACUUUACGAGUUUCAGGACUAGGUCAGUUGAAUAAAUUCAAGAAACACACACAGGUUCUUUUCCGCAAGAAAGCAUGGGUUAGUGGAUGCUGUUGUCAGAGCUAGUGGUUCUGAUAAGACAGCCGUCGUUGCCCUUCCUGGCGGUGUUGGAACUCUGGAUGAAAUAUUUGAGAUCAUGGCGUUAAUUCAACUCGAAAGAAUUGGAUCAUCGCUUCGGGUGCCCUUUCUUUUAAUGAACUAUGAUUCCUUUUAUGAGAAGCUGCUGGAAUUUCUUGACAAUUGUGAGGAAUGGGGAACUCUCUCAAAGGGUGAGGUUUCCUCACUGUGGAAAGUAUGCGGCAACAACACAGAAGCCUUGAGCUAUUUGGCGCAUUUCUAUGGCCUUUCUUUAUUGUGAUAAAGCCAUAAAGAGGGGAGCCUAAAUCACAAACUGAAUGUGGAUCUGUUUCUUGAUUCUUUUAGGUGGUUGCUUUGACCCUCAAAUCUUGACUACACAGAUAGUUUUUUUUUUUUUUAUACGAUAGCUUCUUAUGCUAUGGCGAGGGAAGGGUCUGAAGAGGUUUUGGGGUAACUAACUCAAAGUGGACUGAACCACCACCGGACCAGACAGAUAGUCACCAGACUUGUUUUAUACUAUUUCUCUGGGACUAAGCUCUGGGCAUUUUGAACUACCAAAGGAAAAGCAUUAUGCUUCCACAUUCAUAAAAGCAUUAUGCAUAUUUUACUUAAAACUGAUAGUACUUUAUUUCCAACAUAAUAAUAAUAAUAAUGUUCACGAGGACCGAGAAAAACAUCAGCAAUGUCAACAAGCAAAUCCUACUUCAAUAACGAGAGACACUUGAAAAAGACUCGAAAAACCCUAAAGCCAAAUGGGUAUAAUAACUCCUUAAAACUAAAAGACUCGAUUAUAGAGGGGAAUCCUGCAUUCUACUACAAACAGCUGAUGCCUUAAUAACCUACUGCAAACGGCUGAUGCCUUAAUAACCGGCAACGUAUCCUCGAUCAUAACUAGGGGCACCACCAUAUCCAGGGUAAGCUUGUGCUCCGGUGAAAUACCGGCGGUCUGGUCCUUCCAAAUAGCUGGAGCAUUGUCCGUGCUGCCACCACAGCAUCUCUACAUGUUUCUCCAACUUUCCUAGCUUGUACAGUAGCAUGUUUGCAUUCACGCAGCCUGAGAGUUCAAUUAUUCCAUCUUCAUGCAUCUGGAAGUGUCGUAUCCCUAUACAUAUUUUGUCCAACAAGAGGAAUUUAUAAAUUAAAAUAACAAUAUGUUCAAAACAAAAACUGGUCUAGGAAACAAUAAACUUUGAAAAAAAAAAACCAAAAUCAUAAAAGGAAUAAUGCUUCUAAAUUAGGGAGCACCCUGUUUAUAGAAAAUCUGACAAUAUACAUUACAUCAAAAAAUAAUAAUAAAAAAGGGCUUUUGAGUAAAAAAAAAAAAAAAUUUUUUGCGUAAGCAUGUCUAGUUAUAAUACAUGCUAUGAUUGCGGAAAGAAAGAAAGAAAGAUUUCAUGUUCGCUUGGAUCAGUUUGUAUGAAGAUUAAUCCCAUGACUCUGUAUCGAAUCGAGGACAUUAAUAAUAGAUUGUUGUAAUAAUGAGAUGCAAGCAACUUGCCAUGGGUUGAGCCGACCACUUUGCCUAACUUGUACAUAGCUUUUGAUGAUCCUCUUCUUCUGCCCAUGUCCCAUCUCAGCGUACAAGCCUGAAUGAGUGAAGAAAGUGGAUUACUGUAAAAAACAAGAGAUUUAAACGACAAAUACCUAAAAAAAAAAAGAAAGACAGAACAAUAAACCUUAAACCCAAAAAGAAAAAAAAAAUUAACAACAAACACAAAAAGCUCAUAUUAUGACCAUGAAAUCAGCGGCCUCCUCCGGAUAAACCCUGGGCGCGGCGGCAUUCACGAAGGACUUGGAAGACUUGAAGAACUUCAUAGUAGGAGUAUCACUUUUGUUGGUUGUUAAGGUUGUGAUAUUGUGGAAUAAAUGGGGAGCCAGUGCAUGAAUUUAUAGAUUUUCUUAACCGCCUUUGCCCAGAAAUAAUUAAGACAAGUUAUGGUCUUGCCCAUUUUAGUAGUAUUGUACAUAAUUCUUGUUACCAUAUUUUGAUUGUGAAAACUUUUUCUUCAAGAUUCCUUCAAGCUAUUAAGGUAAUGUUACCAGUUACCACUAUCCUUUUUUUUUUAUAGUACUGCUAGAAUAUCUUUUCUUGCUAUAAUAUCUCCUCCUUACAUAAAUAACUGUAUCUUUCCUUGCUUGCACAUUGCGUUCUUCCAUUUAGAUUCUCUAUGUUUUUGCAAAAUUUGCGUCUUUUUUUUUUGCCGUGGAUUUUCGGGCAAGUGCUUUACCAAUAUAUUGUCCACCAAUCACAUUCAUUACCCCCUUAUUUGUAGACAAAGUUUGUUUAUGCUAAAAAUAUUAUGAUCUUUUUGUGAUAUUCUUUUACUGACCAUCAUAUCUUUGGAUACCAAAUCAUAUAUGAAUCUCAAUCCUUUUUCUUUUCAACAUCACAUUUAUGAAUGGCGUACAAUGCUCUGGCAGUUAUAAGGCAAUUUUAAAUGCUUCGCAAAAUUUAUGCAUGGUGAUCAUAUAUAUAUAUAUGGUUUGUGAAGCGGGGCAGGUUCACUCACAAGUCGCACAAUUAUACUUGCUGAUUACAAGGUGGAGUGAAUUUUAGCUUAAUUUUGCACAUCGUACUUCUAGGAAGAAGACCGUCCGUGUUCUUUCAUUACCAAUUGACCCAGGCGCAGGUUCCUCAAUCACUAGAUUAAAAAUCGAAGUUCUUGUGUAAUAAUAAAACUUUGCUUCAUAAAAAGCAAACCCUUUUUAGAUUUUAGGUGCUUGGCCAAACCCAAUUUGCUGAAGCCAACACCAACACAUCUGCUGCAAGCAUGACAGAAUAUUUGGCUAGAUGAUUGAUUGAUAAUGAACGACAACUUCAGUAAUUUUGUCCAACACCAUCAUAUAUUCUCAGAAUGAUAACUAGGUCUGAUACAACUGGAAAUUUACAAAAUCCUUCAACAGUAGGCUAUCCACUCUCUGCUGUGGAUUUAAAAUUCCGAGGCGUGUGCCGCUUUUUAAUGGAUUGACAAAAGAAUGAGAACGACUCCUUAAGUUCGUUUGGAAGGGGAAAUGCC